rnacentral:lncRNA from 1 species
ACUCGCGCUCCGUGCCUGCGGCUGCGCUGCUCUGUCCCGGAGCCGGGGACUUCCCGCCGGACCUCCUCCGGCCGCUCCUCCCCGAGGACCACCCCUCCCCCUCCCCGCCCACCUAACCCCCAGCGAAAGGCUCGCGCGGCCGGACAUUGUGGGUGUGCGUGCUGAAUUUCUCCCGGAUGCUCCCCGACUAACAUGGAUGUCCCACCAUCCCUUGCAGUGGAAGGUUGCUCCUUGGCGCAGUGAGUGAAGAACAUGCAGCGAUUGCUAAUGGGUUUGGGAAGCGGAGACUCCUUCCUCUCUCUGUGACCAUGCCGUGAUCGCGUCUGCGGCCACCACUCGACGCAUCCUCAUUCCGACCCGUACCGGGAGCCUAACGCUAGAUCGGGGAAGUGGGUGCCGCGCGUGUGUACACAGAAACACCAUGAAGAUUAUUUCCCCGAUUCUAAGUAAUCCAGUCUUCAAGCGCACCAUUAAACUCCUGCUCUGCUUACUGUGGAUUGGAUAUUCUCAAGGAACCACGCAUGUAUUAAGAUUUGGUAAGAUUCCCUAUCCCUCUUCUUCGCCUGGUAUCCGGCUCAGAGGCAGCCGGAUGUAAACAGGCGUGUUCGCUCUCCCGGCGGGUGGGCUCAGUGCAUUUCGACCUGUUCGCUGCUCCAUCGCCUUCCGGGAUUUUAAAGGACCCCACCUGUGCUUUCCAUUUCAUUCUCCCCCCCCCCACCUUUUAUUAAAAAAAAAAUUAGCCGCGGGAGGAUGAGGGGAGUGCCAGUGCGGUAGUGGUCGCGGCGUUACCUCCCCGGGGUCACAGAGACGGUAGUGACGCUGGGGUACAGUCGCCGCUGCUGCGCCUGCCUGUCUCCCCGAGAUCCUUCGGUGCUUGGCCGGCUGCUCCUUCCACGCGAGCGAGCGCGCCAGGGCUACACGCCUCUCAGAUCGCCCCGCUGAUGAGUUAAUAUCUGGUAACUCUUUAGCAAGUUGGCCUCUGUUCGCUUCUGCCUGGGACCUGGACAGGUCCGCAAGUGAAAGGAGCAGAGCCUUUUGAUUUCUUUUGUUAUCAGAGAGCUUUUUCGGUUAAUUUCACCGCUUUUCCAAUCCCUGGUGUCUCUGAAGGGGCUUAGAGCUUUUAAAAAUAUUGUAAGGUUGAAGGCUCUACUUAACAAGGUUAAGCUGCUGCUUAGCUGAAGUGAAGGCAUCCUAAGGAAGGGUUUUUAACUUGUGAGUCCUCUUCUCACAGCUUUCUUACUGGGCGUCCUGGACUAAUAAAUGAUGAACAGUGGUAGUUGGGGCAGAGGGUAUCUGUGUUUGGGAGUUUAAGACUGUGUCUUUAUUUCACUUGUUUAUAUAUGUAUAUGCACACUUAUGUAUUAAAGGACUUUAUUGUUUGCCCAAGAAAUCAGAUUUCCUUAGAGCUCAAAGGAAAAUCUAAAUGUGAGACUUUGGGUGGAAACGCUGGUCAGAAGAUUUGCUUGGAGGAAAUGAAGCAUGGGCAAUGGUUCAGCUGCUCUCAAUGGCCAAUGAUGUUUCAGAAGGAGAACUAGUCAGAGAAAGUUCCCUUAAGUAGAUAAGAGGUAGAGAGGAGAAAGCCAGCAGGGUAAACGCUCCCACUAUGGGUGACUCCUUUGACAGUCAAGUGGAUUUAGCCCAAAGAGUGCAGGAAACCCUAUAAUCCUGAGUAUGUGUCUUUGGGAUAAUAGGAGAGACAUUAAGUAACUCAGGCAAAUUGAAAUCAGAGGAUGAGUGCCUGCACUUCCUAUUAGGUCAACACCAUCUCCUCUCUUUUCCCAUAUGUUUUUUUCUAUAAUGAUAAAAUUUGUCAUCUGUCUCAGGCUUUGUGGUACCAGGGUAGCAAUGCUUUCCUAUACUAAAAAGGGAGUCCAACCUUUCCUCCCCCACCCACACAUAGACACCGGGAGUCCAGAAGACUGGUAAUGACAAAAAAACCAAUGAGUUAUAACUGGAUUCCUCCUGUAAUAGUUUUCCUGCUUUCUUCAUGCCUUUAGAUGGUACUUAAGCACGUUGCUCUUGGCAACAAGCAUCCACAGAAAUGCUUGUUUCUUAGGAUGAGAUUAAACAGGUUCCUUUAUCACUGGAAAUGUUUGUGUUCAGCUGUUCUGCUUCAAGCAUGGUAAGUGAUACAGUUUGGUAGUUUUGCAGAAUAUUUUGAGUAAUACAACCUACUUAUUUGGAAUACUGGAGGUAUCUUCUAAAGUGUGUUUGUGAAUCAGUGUUUGAGGACUGGAUGGGAAAAAAAAAAAAAGCCUAGGAGCCAGAAUACCACUAAUACUCUAAAGAUUUAAUUAUUGCUUCUCUGGUCUUGCAGCAUAAUAUUUGCUGAAUCAUUAGAUUGUUACAUUCGCUGAUCAUUUCAUAUCUUCAUAUUAAAAAUCUUGGCGACCGUAGCAGAGUGUGUAGCAGCUUUCCAAAAGAGCUGACACACACACAAAAAUACAUUUUCCUAGACCAUUGCUUACACAAAGAAUGUCCCUAAGAAAUAGGGGAGUAGGAAAACACCUUCCCAUCUGUGCCUUGAUACCUUAAAUCAACAGCCCAGUUCUGGAUAACCUGUUAUUUACUCCAUCAACUUGAAACAUCUUUCACGUGGAGAUCCAUUUUCCGCGACUUUGGAUCUGAGUUGUGGGGUAGGAUUGUGUACAUUGUAAUCACUGGAACACUCCUCUGUUGGGGAUAUUUUGAUGCAAGGGCGGGAAUUUUAUUUUCUUCUGUGGAAAACAUGUUUUGAGCGGAGGAGUGGAGGUUGGUUGCACGAAGUAUGAGCCCCUGUUGAGAAAGGUUAUGUUCAACUUCAGCUGAAAAAGCGAACCAGAGCCUCAUCCCUGGCCUGUGCCUUGAAAGGGAAGGGGUUGGAGCCUUGCCUCUGGGGUGUGGGUGAGACCCGUCGCUCUACUGAGGAAGUGGCAUUUAGCCCCCUUCCCCCACCGACUACGGCGUGGCUGGCUGGCAAGGCCAGCCGCCGGGAGCCUCCGCUGCGGCGCUAUGGCAACCGCGGAGCCCCGCGUCGUGGCCGCCCCAGCCCCCCUUCCCGUAGGUGGUGGAAAACCACUUUCCUGGGCUCUAUGCUGCCCUUUCCCCGCUCCCACUAGGACUCAGACUUGACGGUGCAUCCUCCUACCAACGGCUGCGGAUGGGGGAGCAGCUUAGGGUGCUGACCCUUGCCAAGCCCCUAGCCAUCCCCAUCCAUCUUCCGGGUGCUCAAUCUCUCGUCAAUUUCUCUCUCCCAAGCGCGCGCGGGGCACGCACCCGCGCGCGCACACACACACACACGGGCCAAGUGCGCUCCUGCGAAGCAAGUGACACACUUUGAGACAAUGACUCCUAUCUGGUCCCCAGAAAAACUUCCUGCAGUCGCGCCCAGAGUGCCUGUAUCCAGGCGUCCCUCCCACCCUGCUUGGCCUUGGGGGCCUGCCUGGCCGAGGCCGCUUAGCAAACACCUCCAGUGAAAGUCUCCACAGCGCCGACCCCAGGGCGCCUUCCCGAAGCUUUAAGGGGCAGGGACACGACCUGAGGGUCAGCUAAGAGUCGGCUCCUCGCCGUGGGUGAUGGGUCGUGGUUGUUUCCCCCGCCUCCAAUCCUGGCGCGGCCAGGCUCGGCUUCUUCAGAGCGACCGCCCAGCAGACGCGCUGUCCGGGAACACGGUGGAUCCUGGACGGUUGAGAGUCAGGUCCCCCGCCCCAAGUCGAUCCAAUGACCCUGGCCGGCGUUUCCCAGUGUGGAGCUUGCGCCGCCCCCGCGGCCCGCGCUCCCGCCCCGCAGCCGCCUGCCGCGGUAUGUAAAUGAGGCACCUUUGUUCCCCCGCAGCUGCGGCCGGACCAGGCUAGCUGCUGGAGAGGGCGAAGGCGGCAUCCUUCCGUCCGCGGGGGCGUGGGCCACAAUGCCACGGUCUCCCAGCACGACAGUGGCUCGGAGGUACUGCAACAUUUCUUUUGUUACUUUAGCCACCCUUCUCUUCCGGGUUCCCUCGACCUCUGCUCUUGGAAACGUGUGGGGAGGAGUGGGACGCCAGCACUGGACCGGGCGCCACGCAGGGCUAGCAAUCCCUUGGCUCGGAGUUGGGGAGGGCUUUGGCAUUUUCUUUAAGAAAUCACUUCGCAGGCCACCACCUGUUUACUAUCGAUCUUCAAGGUCAGGUGUUCCAGAUUGCUUAUGCGAAAUGGCAUUAAGAACUGCCAGGAGCAGAAAAGACUUGAACCCAAACUUUCUCCAAACUCGUGGGCGGCUUCUCCAAGCUAGUCUUUAAAGAGGAGUUGAGCUUGUGGGCCACUUUUUCCCUUCAGAUGUUUCCACCUAGCUUUUCUCCUAGGCGUGCCAGUAGAAUAACUUUCUUAGAUGGCUUCGCAGGCGAGGUCUCCCAAAGGCACUCAGACGUCCUUGGCACCGCACAUAGCCACCUUCCUGCACACAUGUCAAAGGUGAAGGCCACCAGCUCAAGGACAGUUCAGAUAUAAAACUCAGAGAGAAGGAACGGAAAGGGUUCCUAUGGAAAUUCCCUCUAUUUGCCGAAUAGCCCAUGUGCUCCCAGAUGCAAUAAUCAGUAGCAGAUGUACUACAACAUCGAGGAGUGCUAGUGAAUUGGCUGGGCUUAGAAGCUGCCACUCUCUACAAGUUCUUUGAAAGAGAUUUUUCUUCCCUUGGGAGGUGAGGUGGGCGGGAGGGAGGAGUGGCCUUACAUCUGGAAGCUGGAAAACUGGCUCCCAGGGAGGCGGGGAUGGGGGAGAAAUAGCGGCUACUGUCUGCAACAGACUGCAACAGAUAAAGCCCGAACACCUGCUUAGCUGAGCUCUGGAAAGCAGGGGAGGGAAAUCUUUCCAAGAAUUGCCAACACAAGGGCCACCCAAAA